rnacentral:rRNA from 1 species
UGGGGAAUAUUGGACAAUGGGCGCAAGCCUGAUCCAGCCAUGCCGCGUGGAUGAUGAAGGCCUUAGGGUUGUAAAAUCCUUUCGUUGGGGACGAUAAUGACGGUACCCAAAGAAGAAGCUCCGGCUAACUUCGUGCCAGCAGCCGCGGUAAUACGAAGGGGGCUAGCGUUGUUCGGAUUUACUGGGCGUAAAGCGCGUGUAGGCGGACUUGUAAGUUGGGGGUGAAAUCCCGAGGCUCAACCUCGGAACUGCCUCCAAAACUACAAAUCUGGACCUAAGUAGAGGCAAGUGGAAUUGCGAGUGUAGAGGUGAAAUUCGUAGAUAUUCGCAGGAACACCAGUGGCGAAGGCGACUUGCUGGACUUAUGGUGACGCUGAGACGCGAAAGCGUGGGGAGCAAACAGGAUUAGAUACCCAAGUAGUCCCUGAGCGGGCUGGCAAGGCGCAU